GACGUAGGGGGCGAGCGUUGUCCGGAUUUAUUGGGCGUAAAGCGUGCGUAGGCGGCUGCGCAAGUCGGGUGUGAAACCCCGGGGCUCAACCCCGGAACUGCAUCCGAUACUGCGUGGCUAGAGGUAGGUAGGGGAGAUCGGAAUUCCUGGUGUAGCGGUGAAAUGCGCAGAUAUCAGGAGGAACACCGGUGGCGAAGGCGGGUCUCUGGGCCGAUACUGACGCUGAGGAGCGAAAGCAUGGGGAGCGAACAGG
rnacentral:rRNA from 1 species